rnacentral:tRNA from 1 species
ACUAGAAAUGAGACUUAUAGCCCCUAGGACA